rnacentral:rRNA from 1 species
CGCAACCCUUGUCCUUAGUUACCAGCACGUUAUGGUGGGCGACUCUAAGGAGACUGCCGGUGACAACCGGAAGGAAGGUGGGGAGUGACGUCAAGUCAUCAUGGCCCUUACGGCCUGGGCUACACACGUGCUACAAUGGUCGGUACAAAGGGUUGCCAAGCCGCGAGGUGGAGCUAAUCCCAUAAAACCGAUCGUAGUCCGGAUCGCAGUCUGCAACUCGACUGCGUGAAGUCGGAAUCGCUAGUAAUCGUGAAUCAGAAUGUCACGGUGAAUACGUUCCCGGGCCUU